AUGCAGGCUCUACAAGAAGAAUCUCGCCAAGGUGCACAACUACAGAAAGAUGACUGCGUCGCCAGCGCUCCGCGGCAACCAGAUCCGCAAGAAACACACCCAUCACCGGAAGGAGGACGCUCCGACAACUCGAGUCGCGCUACACGGCGCCGCAAUUCAUCAGAGCCAGCCGUCUCUUCUUCCCCAUCCACCCGCACCCAGGAGGCAAGCUCGCCGCCAUGGCCGCCGGCAAAUCGAUGCGCCUCAUCUGAUUCGUAUGUGGAUCGCCGGCGCGGGAUGCACCCUUCUCCAUGGCCGCUCGCAGCCACGGGCGCACUCGUCGCCUUGUCUGCCUCCGCCAGCAGUUGGAUGCAUGCCCUCUCCAUGGCCGCCGCAGCCAGGGUGCGCCCAUCGCCAUGGCCAAGCUGCAACCUACCACGGUGGCGGCGAGUUCGUGCUGGAACCAGCUGGUGUAUAUGCUACAAGGUCGAUGCCUCGCCGGAGGAAGCUUCAUCCAGCGGUGAAGAUUGCUGCAUCCAAUGCCGUUUGAUGUCGGGAGCUGCAACCGUGCACGUCGGAGCUGCAACCGGCUACUGGGGGAGCUGCAAGAGGGGUGGCCAUUUGUGCGAAUGCGUUUUCUUUUUGCCGAACCAAUUUUUUGUUUUUGCUGGAACGAUGUAUUUUUUUUGCUGGAACCAAGAUAAUUUUGUGCUUCAACGAUUGCAGAGCUCUCAAAUGCUCAUGUCGUUUUUGUUCGAAGCUUUUUUAUUUUGCUUCAACCUACCACCAGACUUUGAUCCGUGGCAAAGAUUUUUGCUGCUUCUGAGUUUUUUUGCUAGGCACUCUGACCCGUGGCGAGCCGCUUCAAUUUUUGUUUCCACCUUGUUCUGUUUUUGUUGGAUCUAG
rnacentral:rRNA from 1 species